GAUGAACGCUGACAGAAUGCUUAACACAUGCAAGUCAACUUGAACUUCGGUUUGGGUGGCGGACGGGUGAGUAACGCGUAAAGAACUUGCCUCACAGAUAGGGACAACAUUUGGAAACGAAUGCUAAUACCUGAUAUUAUGAUUAUAUGGCAUCGUAUAAUUAUGAAAGCUAUAUGCGCUGUGAGAGAGCUUUGCGUCCCAUUAGCUAGUUGGAGAGGUAACGGCUCACCAAGGCGAUGAUGGGUAGCCGGCCUGAGAGGGUGAUCGGCCACAAGGGGACUGAGACACGGCCCUUACUCCUACGGGAGGCAGCAGUGAGGAAUAUUGGACAAUGGACCAAGAGUCUGAUCCAGCAAUUCUGUGUGCACGAUGAAGUUUUUCGGAAUGUAAAGUGCUUUCAGUUGGGAAGAAAAAAAUGACGGUACCAACAGAAGAAGUGACGGCUAAAUACGUG
rnacentral:rRNA from 1 species